AUCCCAUGAUAAGGACACUUACGAAGUAACUCCUUGAAUCGCUCCCAAGCCUCAUAUAAAGAUUCAUCAUCCAAUUGUUGGAAAGUGUGAUCUCGUUCCUCAACUU
rfam:Gossypium hirsutum cultivar TM-1 chromosome 12, whole genome shotgun sequence